rnacentral:misc_RNA from 1 species
UUCUACUUCGACGUUUUUUUUACGAUGCAAAGCAAAGUAAAUUAAAGUACACAGAAGCUUUUGCUUGUUUAUAUCGUGAAUUAUCAACGAACAUUAAAAUAAAAAUAUUGAUUUGGUGUGAUAGUUUGGAUCGGAUUAUUGAAAUUUGGUGUUUGUAAGGACAUAAAAAUGGUUCCUAAUUUGAACUUGCUGCAAGUAAUAUGUUUCGCACUGUUAUUCGAUAUGUGCGUGCGCACGCGUGCAGAAUUAUUCACCGCCAUAGCUGAAGUAGAACAUUUACUGGAAACACACAAGAGGAUAAUAGACGAUUUAGACUUUUAUAUUCAAAAGGAAGAGAACAGACUCGCAGUUCUAAAGAGGCAUUUGAAUAUCUACAAACACGAACAUGAAAAGGCGAUGGAAGAUAUUCCCAAUUAUUUGGGCAAUCCAAUCAACGCCUUCACCCUUAUAAAAAGACUGACAACAGAUCUUGAUCAUAUAGAAGAUAGCAUAAAGAUAGGAACAGAAUACAUAAAGAAUAUAACAAUGAAUCAUGAAGAUGUGAAGUAUCCUGCCUUGGAAGACCUGACGGGAGCCGCACAGGCUCUUACCAGGCUUCAGGAAACUUACCACCUAGAUGUUAAGGACCUGGCCGAAGGAAUGCUCAAUGGAGUCGCUUACAGUACGCCAAUGAGCGCGGGCGACUGCUACGAACUCGGUCGUGCAUUGUACAACGAGAAAGAUUUCGUGAAUGCGCGAGAGUGGAUGGUGCAGGCUUUGCGAAAGCUCAAGGAAGAAAAUGUGCCGUAUCCAUUCAAUGAGGUCGAUAUACUGGAGUAUAUUAGCUUCUCUUAUUAUUUGUUGGGUGAUACUAGAAGUGCUUUGGAAUGGACACAAAAGCUGUUAGCAGUGGAUCCGAAGCACGUUCGAGCUAAAGGCAACGUGCCACAUUAUCAGAAGAGUAUUGCUGAAGAGGAACAAAGAUUAAGGAAGGAACGCCGCGGGGAUACAGGCUUUGAAGAGAAUGAGGAAAAACCUGUAACUUUGACCGGCUACGCAAAGGAGAGGAAAGUUUAUGAGUCCCUUUGUCGCGGCGAAGUUGAUAUACCCUCCGCUAUUUCUAAGAGGUUGACGUGUCGUUACCUAACCGAGAACCACCCGUUCCUUCGCAUAGCGCCGAUCAAGAUGGAAAUGAUGUACCUCAACCCCGACAUAGUUAUAUUCCACGAUGUCAUCAGUGACGGAGAGAUUGAAACUGUUAAGAAAAUGGCCAGACCUAGAUUCAAACGUGCAGUAGUUCACGAUCCGAAAACAGGUGAACUUGUACCCGCUCACUACCGUAUAAGCAAGUCUUCAUGGUUGAAAGAUAAUGAGGCAGAGACAAUCGCGCGUAUAUCUCGUCGAGUGUCACAUAUGACUGGUCUGAGUAUGGACUCGGCUGAAGAGUUGCAGGUCGUUAACUACGGCAUAGGGGGGCAUUAUGAACCGCAUUAUGAUUUUGCUAGGAAACGAGAGAACGCAUUCUCCAAACAUGGUGGCAACAGGAUAGCUACUGUACUUUUCUAUAUGUCAGACGUAGCUCAAGGCGGUGCUACAGUAUUCACGGAGCUAGGUCUGAGCGUGUUCCCGGUGAAGAGAGCAGCCGCCUUCUGGCUCAACCUGCACCCCUCGGGGGAGGGCGACCUCGCCACCAGGCACGCCGCCUGUCCCGUGCUGCAGGGCUCUAAGUGGGUAAGCAACAAAUGGCUUCACCAAGGCGGCCAAGAAUUGCUGAAGCCUUGCAACCUCGAGUACCAAGAAGAGGGUUUCAUCCGUCAGAUCCCACGCCCAGUGCCCAAGACCUCAAGGUAGACUUCCGUAUCAUGUCGAAUGUACAAACAGUACUGAUUAGUGCAAAUAUAGUGAUCUGAUUAGAGCUGAAAAUGGUGUAUUUGAUAACUACUGAGUAGAAUAAAUCCUAGUUUGGUAGAAAAAAGAAUGUCCC